AACGAACGCUGGCGGCAGGCUUAACACAUGCAAGUCGAGCGCCCCGCCAGGGGAGCGGCAGACGGGUGAGUAACGCGUGGGAACGUACCUUUUGGUUCGGAACAACUCCGGGAAACUGGAGCUAAUACCGGAUAAGCCCUAACGGGGAAAGAUUUAUCGCCGAAAGAUCGGCCCGCGUCUGAUUAGCUAGUUGGUGAGGUAACGGCUCACCAAGGCGACGAUCAGUAGCUGGUCUGAGAGGAUGAUCAGCCACACUGGGACUGAGACACGGCCCAGACUCCUACGGGAGGCAGCAGUGGGGAAUAUUGGACAAUGGGCGCAAGCCUGAUCCAGCCAUGCCGCGUGAGUGAUGAAGGCCUUAGGGUUGUAAAGCUCUUUUGUCCGGGAAGAUAAUGACUGUACCGGAAGAAUAAGCCCCGGCUGACUUCGUG
rnacentral:rRNA from 1 species